UUCUAAAUCCAAAUUGUGGUGUUAGAGGAACUAAGACUGAAUAAUGAGCACAAAAAUGAAAACUGUCAAUGGGAUGAUGCUGAGAAACUGUUGCUUGUAGUGAGAUUCCUGCCCACACUUCUGUCCCCAUACAGUGGCCUUUUAGCUGCCCACAAAACACAACUGGUCUCAUGGGACACCGGGCCAUUAUAUCUGGGAGGUGCGAUUUUCCCAAGAAAAGAGAAGCUUUAAAAAGUCAAAGCUUUAAUCUUGCGGGAAUGCCCUGUCUGGAAAAGCAGAAAACAGAAAGACUGGGGGGAAGGAGGGGACUUAUUAGUCCUUCAUUAGGGAAAACGUCAACAUGAAACAGCUCAGGCAGAGAUCCGACCUUUCCAAACGUUAAAACAUUUCAAAUUUACCAGCCCUGGAUCCUCUAUUCCCCAGAUUUGAGUUUCUGAGUGCUUGUGAUCCUGGUUUCCCACAUCCCCAGCUCCGUACUGGAAAUGUUUGGGUGGUCGGCUGGGACGCUGGGAAGCUCACUGAGCAGUGACACCAGCAGUUAUUUUUCUUUUGCUGUUCACCAAAUAGCAAACGAGGAAAGAAAAAAUAUUUACCCUGUUUAUAAUAUUGCUCUGGAUCAACAUAUUAAUUAUUGAUACAGCCAGAGACGGAAGCAGUCUCCAAACAACUCCCCUUGCAUCAGACUCACGCACUAGGUUUUCAUCCAUCAAACUCCCUGCAAGGGAAAAGCCUAAGAGCAAAUCUCAACAUGAAAGGGAGAGAGAAAGCCACGCUGUGGUGAGAAUGACCCCGGGUGAUGGUGACAACAUCAAUACACGCUCCUGUCAGCUGCAGUAAAUCGCUGCGGUUUCACUGAGCAGGGUGGAUUUGUGCUGGUCUGUGACUGCCUUGUCCCUUCCUCCUAUAAACGUGGAGGUGACAGCCAUAGGUGCAGAGCCCUGUAGUGCUGUCUGGGCUUGAGAUCUCUGGAGGUGCUGCAGAAACAUGUCAAUGGGGUACUUAGAGAGGUGGUUUAGUGGGGCAUUGUUGGUGGUAGGUGGAGGGUUGGUUGAUCUUGGAGGUCUUUUCCAACCCUAAUGAUUCUGACAACAAAAAAUUCGGUAGUUAUUUCCCAAGGUUUUGGGGAGAGAUCUGCAGGUCUCCUGGUGGCCAAUGAGACACAUAUCAGCGUUGGGUUUGGGUGGAGAGGCAGCUCUCUAGGGACUGUUCUUAUCUUGUGUUUUUGAGGGUGGCUGCAGGACACCUCCAGUGUCAGGCUUUAAUCAGUCUCGUUCUACCAGAGAUCCCGGGGGACUUUCUACCUGUGGGGUUUGUACAGUUGCUGAAUCUUUAAUAGACUGUCCUCAUACAACCCAACUUCUCUUUUUUCCAAGUCCGGAAGCUUUCUCUCCUACUCAUCAGCACACCAAAUUUCUUAAUAGCGGAGUGAAAUAACCUGAGAAGUAAUGGAAAACAGGGAAGGAUUAAGUUUUCCCAGGGACCUUGAUCUCUUUUAUCAUCUCACUGUCUUCAGAGGGGAGGUUUUCUUUCAAUCUAAUUAUCUGGCGGAUAUGUGUUGCCGGUUCUCCGAUGCAUCCCUGAGUUUACCUUGUUUUCCUGAGAGAUGUCCCAUGGGAGCUCUGUGAUGGAAGAAAUGGCCGUGAUGAAGAUACAGCUCCUGUAGGGAAAAUAGAGCUUCUCUGUCAAUAGCAUCAUCCAGGAACUGGAGAUUUCAGAAAAAAAACCCAACCAGACAAUACAACAAAAGCACGACAAGAAGGGUAAAUUUCCA
ensembl:lncRNA